UUCUCUCUCUCUCUCUCUCUCUCUCUCUCUCUCUCUGUGUGUGUGUGUGUGAGAGAGAGAGAGAGAGAGAGAGAGAGAGAGAGAGAGAGAG